rnacentral:rRNA from 1 species
UCGAGAAUAAUUCGCAAUGGACGAAAGUCUGACGAUGCGACGCCGCGUGAACGAUGAAGGCCUUCGGGUUGUAACGUUCUGUUGUCCUGGAACAAGAGUCGCUGACGAAUAGUGAGCGACGAUGAGGGUACAGGAAGAGGAAGCACCGGCUAAUUCCGUGCCAGCAGCUGCGGUAAUACGGAAGGUGCAAGCGUUAGUCGGAAUAAUUGGGCGUAAAGGGUGCGUAGGCGGCAUGCAAAGUUGGAUGUGAAAUUCCGGGGCUCAACCUCGGAACAGCACCCAAAACUUGUAUGCUCGAGGGAUGGCGGAGAAGAUGGAAUUCCAUGUGUAGCGGUGAAAUGCGUAGAUAUCGGGAGGAAUACCAGUGGUGAAGACGGCUUUCUGGUCUGUUUCUGACGCUGAGGUGCGAAAGUGUGGGGAUCAAACA